AUGAGUCCACCAUACCUUCCUAUAAGCGGUAUUUACCUGUCGUUCCAAGUAAAUUUGUAUGUGCCAAACUCCAAACCUUCAAAUGAAAUUUUGUUUUGUAUGCUCGAGCAGCUCAUGUUUCAAGUAGGGCUGCCUAUAUCUUCCAUGCUAGGUGGGUUAUUCUCAAGAGGAGUGGACUCCGCUCCUCAUUCACGAGAAAGGGCCGAUAACCGGGAUGCCCAGUCCCAUGAUCCAAAAAGAUCAAAGCAAAUCAAAAUAAUUAAACAAAACCCCCCCAUGGCUGUUGUUAGUUGGAGGCACUCGUUGUUUCGAGCAAGCCAUGGAUUGAUGCUUGUUGGUGGUUGGGGGAGUAUGAACCUUUACCAUUCUGUUUGGGAACUGCCUAUAAUGCAUGUAGUAUGGAAGGUACAGCCAUCUCAUAGUUGCUGCGUUGACAGCAAAAGUAUGCCACUCAAAAUGUUAUUCAAUCUCUAUUUUAAAAUCAAGCUCUUGCACCUCUACAAAUCCCUGCUUCCCUCUGCGAAGGGCCUAUCUAUUUACUUUUAUGUUGAGUCAUCACCCUUCUUAUUAAAAAGCACCCGCUGGAGAGCACACUGUCAUUUGCAUUCAUUAUUAUUGGUUUAUAUUGGGUAUGACUUGACUAGAUCUCUUUUACCAUGA
rnacentral:rRNA from 1 species